UUUUAUGGAGAGUUUGAUCCUGGCUCAGGAUGAACGCUGGCGGCGUGCCUAAUACAUGCAAGUCGAGCGAACAGACGAGGAGCUUGCUCCUCUGACGUUAGCGGCGGACGGGUGAGUAACACGUGGAUAACCUACCUAUAAGACUGGGAUAACUUCGGGAAACCGGAGCUAAUACCGGAUAAUAUAUUGAACCGCAUGGUUCAAUAGUGAAAGACGGUUUUGCUGUCACUUAUAGAUGGAUCCGCGCCGCAUUAGCUAGUUGGUAAGGUAACGGCUUACCAAGGCAACGAUGCGUAGCCGACCUGAGAGGGUGAUCGGCCACACUGGAACUGAGACACGGUCCAGACUCCUACGGGAGGCAGCAGUAGGAUCUUCCGCAAUGGG
rnacentral:rRNA from 1 species